rnacentral:lncRNA from 1 species
AAAUCAAACAGCUCCAUCUUCUUUCAUCACGGAUCCAUCACCGAUUAGGUGGUCUAUCUUCCCAUCGGGUUGCUCAAAGAAGUCUGCCACAUUCAAGUAAGUGAUGUCAGAGUUGUCGUCAGAGACAAAAUUCGUUUUAGGGCAUUUACUCUUUCGAGAUGCUUGAUAAAGGUCAACCAAUGUCAUGGUAUACGGCAAGCCUUUGACCAGUGCCCGUUUCCACCGCAACGAUAAUAU